rnacentral:rRNA from 1 species
AUUGAACGCUGGCAGCAGGCCUAACACAUGCAAGUCGAACGAGUGGCGGACGGGUGAGGAAUGUCUGGGAAACUGCCUGAUGGAGGGGGAUACCUACUGGAAACGGUAGCGAAUACCAAAUACCAACAGAUGUGCCCAGAUGGGAUUCGCUUGUUGGUGGGGUAACGGCUCACCAAGGCAACGAUCCCUGUCUGGUCUGAAAGGAUGACCAGACACAUUGGAACUGAGAGACUGUCCAGACGCCUACGGUAGGCAGCAGUGGGGAAUAUUGCAGUAUGGGCGCAAGCCUGAUGUAGCCAUGCCGCGUGUAUGAAGAAGGCCUUCGGGUUGUAAAGUACUUUCAGCUGGUACGCGUUACCCGCAGAAGAAGCACCGGCUAACUCCGUGCCAGCAGCCGCGGUAAUUC